AUUUGCCAAGUAUGUUUCCGUUAAUCAAGAACGAAAGUUAGAGGUUCGAAGGCGAUCAGAUACCGCCCUAGUUCUAACCAUAAACGAUGCCAGCCAGCGAUCCGCCGAAGUUCCUCCGAUGACUCGGCGGGCAGCUUCCGGGAAACCAAAGCUUUUGGGUUCCGGGGGAAGUAUGGUUGCAAAGCUGAAACUUAAAGGAAUUGACGGAAGGGCACCACCAGGAGUGGAGCCUGCGGCUUAAUUUGACUCAACACGGGAAACCUCACCAGGCCCGGACACCGGAAGGAUUGACAGAUUGAGAGCUCUUUCUUGAUUCGGUGGGUGGUGGUGCAUGGCCGUUCUUAGUUGGUGGAGCGAUUUGUCUGGUUAAUUCCGGUAACGAACGAGACUCUAGCCUGCUAAAUAGACGAUUUCCGGUAUCCACAAUAGUGCUACCGGCGAAAUCAAUAUCUUCUUAGAGGGACAGGCGGCUUUCAGCCGCACGAAACUGAGCAAUAACAGGUCUGUGAUGCCCUUAGAUGUCCUGGGCCGCACGCGCGCUACACUGAAGGAAUCAGCGUGUACACCCUGGCCGAAAGGCUCGGGCAACCCGUUGAACCUCCUUCGUGCUAGGGAUUGGGGCUUGCAAUUGUUCCCCAUGAACGAGGAAUUCCCAGUAAGCGCGAGUCAUAAGCUCGCGUUGAUUACGUCCCUGCCCUUUGUACACACCGCCCGUCGCUACUACCGAUUGAAUGAUUUAGUGAGGUCUUCGGACUGGUGCGCGGCGGCCGCCUGUGCGGCCGCCGAUGCCACCGGGAAGAUGACCGAACUUGAUCAUUUAGAGGAAGUA
rnacentral:rRNA from 1 species